rnacentral:rRNA from 1 species
GCGAGUGGCGCACGGGUGAGUAACGCGUGGGGAUCUGCCUCGAAGUGGGGAAUAACCGCUGGAAACGGCGGCUAAUACCGUAUACGCCCUCAGGGGGAAAGCUUUAUGCGCUUCGAGAUGAACCCGCGUCGGAUUAGCUAGUUGGUGAGGUAAAGGCUCACCAAGGCGACGAUCCGUAGCUGGUCUGAGAGGAUGAUCAGCCACACUGGGACUGAGACACGGCCCAGACUCC